UAGAAAACUCACAACAUUUGGAUAAUUAUGGAUUUCCGAAAAAUUUAUUGAAGUAUGUGUUACAAGCCAGCAAGCCAGAUUAUGGAUACACAACGGCGCCUAUUUCUGCCGUGAAGCAGUAAUGUGACAAAACAUCUGGUCAAUCAAUGUGUGCCCUGGCUGCAACAAAAAGCCAACAUCCAUCCAGACCGACCUAGCGACCUAGCCCCCAGCGAUUAUUUUCUAGUGACAAAGAGAUGAAGACUGCAGUUGACAAUAUUUUCUAGGCAAAGAUUGCAAAUAUUUUUUCACUAGGUAAAAAGUGCUUUAUGGAUGUAAGAAAUAAAUUAAAUUUGUGUAAUUAA